rnacentral:rRNA from 1 species
UACGGAGGGUGCAAGCGUUAUCCGGAUUCACUGGGUUUAAAGGGAGCGUAGGUGGGCUGGUAAGUCAGUGGUGAAAUCCCCGAGCUUAACUUGGGAACUGCCAUUGAUACUAUUAGUCUUGAAUAUUGUGGAGGUCAGCGGAAUAUGUCAUGUAGCGGUGAAAUGCUUAGAGAUGACAUAGAACACCAAUUGCGAAGGCAGCUGGCUACACAUAUAUUGACACUGAGGCUCGAAAGCGUGGGGAUCAAACAGG